ensembl:lncRNA
UGUCGUCUUUAUGUGGCCUUUUAUCUCCAGUAAAAUAAUGUUUUAUUCCCACUGUUAAGUUCUGACACGCCUCACAUAUGCACACACACACGCACCAUGAAUUCAGCUAAAAAGCAAAGUCAUUAUCCUCCAAUGGUGACAGCACUGUUUGAAAACGACAUUGGAUUUUAAUGUGGUGCAAGUCAAUUUCAGCGUAUGAAAGGACUUGUGGAAAGAUAAUGCAGGGCCAAUUUACACUCAAUUGAAAUGUGUGUUUCCUUUUGAAUCUGCCCCAAUUCCAUCCUGGCCCAAUGACCAGCUCGAGCUGAAUGUGGGAUGCUUUGCUGAGAGAAUAUCCACUGCUCUAUUAUGAAGCCAUUUGAAGAUCGUGGCAUAGACUAACUGGCCCUCUGAGUCUUGGUUACUUUGCAACGGCAAAUCUAUACAUGCGAUAUUCAGAUUUCACAAACAUAAUUAUGCCACAGCAGUUCAAAGGUUCCAACGUGUACACAUUGGCUGCACGGCUUGUCUACUCUGCAAUGUUAAUGGCACACAUAUAAUCAAGUGCCAAAAAUAUUUGAAAUACGUUCAUAAAAUCGGACCGAGGGAUGUGUUUACCAAUGCAAAUUUUAACACUUAAGGGUUUUUGCGUAGGUGUGUCCUAUAAAAGCUGUCAGCUGGCUUUCAGAACUGCCUAUCUUUUCUGUCAGAAUCAUUCAAUAUUCAAACCCAAAUUAUACCAAAGUCAGUUAUCAAGACUCUUUGACUUGGCUUAUAUAAUAGCAGACCAUUUCUACACAAAUAGCAUUUGCUUCCCGGUGGAAAUCAUUCAUGGAAAUUGAUACUAAUCCAGAUGCCAAGGCCAAUACGAGACAGUUAGGAAUAUUUGUGGUUCUGAUAGCGAAGAACUUUCUUUCCCCUUGGGCUUGUGUUUAGAUCAGAUGCAUGUUGAACAGAAUUCAGAUCUUUUUUCUUUUGUCUUCUCAGACUUCUAAUCAACAGCAGAGACAUUGUAGCCCGUCGCAGACCAGGUUGAAGCUCUUUGAUAUCCGUGCCGAGCUCAUGGGGGCUCAACCAGAAGACCACCCACACCACAAUGAGGCACAGACUCCUGAAGGAGAGGGGAGACGUGAAGAGCCGAGUCAGGAGAACAUGCCAUCAAGAGAUGGAGUUGGCAGCUGACCAGAAGCUUUCGGAAAGCCUCUCUCUCCUCCUGUUCACUGUCCCUCUCAGGCACCAGAUCGACAAACAGCCCGAGUUCUGACAGCUGUCAUACAGAAUAAUGACAUAUCCAUGCACCUUUGAGUUGGCAAAAUAACAAAAAAAAAAAAAAAAAACAAACACCACCACCACCAACAACAACAAAAACCGUUGAACUCUAGCAAAAUUGGGUUUGGAUAAAGUAUGCUUUAUCAUUUUUUUUUAUUUCAUUGUUGUGUAACAACUCACUUGUCUCAGAGUUUCAGCAAAGAUGGCACAGACCUUUCAUCAAGUUGGACAACUUGAGAACAAACAGGAGGAGGAAAAAAGGCUCGCCGUUUUCCUCACAAGGGCGAUUCCUCUCCAAAUCGAUUUUCCCAGACAACAUAAGUAGUUCUCUCUAUUGAAAUGAAGAGAAGUUGUCCCUCUUUUCUCCUCACUCACAACUCCAGCCAUUUUUCCUCACUUUCCUGGUGUCCGGUACCCUCCUUCUCAUGGCAGCUUUGUGCAAUCAAUCAAUCACUAUAACUGAACUGUCUUCCACCCCAAGGGUAGCGCCUAUUCUCUCACUCUAUUUCACUUUCUCUGUCUCGUCUGCAUCAGGCAACGGCAGAGCCCUCUCUCCUAUGACAGAUGCAACAAAUGAAAUGCAAUGGACAGGUAAUUAAACUCAAUGUCUCCAAUGACUCAACGUCUCCAUCACUGUGUGUAAGCAUAUGUUCCUAUUUGACUAACGAUGCCUUUUUAUGCUCUUAAUCAAAACUGCCCCUUGGUUAUUUAUUGAUUAGUUACCCCUCACAAAACAUCAAACCACAAUUAAAACCUAGCCACUAAUGGCAUAUUGAUUUCACCACAGUUCAACCACAUUACCCCACUGCCUCAACGACUUAAACACAGGUCAUCUGACAUUAACUACCAUCUACUUAACUCCAUAAUCAGACAUAGUUUAUUGCAGACAAGCAAUUAGGAUCAAGCAGCCAGACACAGAUGAAUUAUCCAACAAAAUGCAUAACCUCUCAAAUUUCAACAAAAUGCUGGUUUAUCAUGCUUUAUUUAACCAGGCAAAUCACUUAAGAACAAGAUUCUUAUUUACAACAGCCUGGAAAGAACAGUAGAAAAAAAUAGGAAUCAGUCUGCUUAAUUUAACUUUCCUUUUUUGACUGAUUACCUCUGCAAUAAAUAAAUAAAUAAAUGAAAGCUCA